GUUGAUGUUCGCUUAGGAGAUAUGGCACUUUCAUAAAACAUUAACCAUUACAGGAAUCAUAACUUAAAAAUGUUUGGGAACAAGAAGUACACUGCUUAGUACAAGUAAAAAUCGAUCAUGUGUUAAUAUUUUUGACUCGGAGAAACUUUAUUUUUUU